rnacentral:piRNA from 1 species
UGGGACUAGGCAAGGCCUCUUGGUCAGCGA